rnacentral:rRNA from 1 species
AUACGGAAGGUCCGGGCGUUAUCCGGAUUUAUUGGGUUUAAAGGGAGCGCAGGCGGAGAUGCAAGCGUGACGUCAAAUUUCGGGGCUCAACCCCGUCUCGCGUCGCGAACUGCGUCCCUUGGUUGCGGGAAGGGGAGGCGGAACUCGUGGGGGUGCGGGGGAAUGCAUGGAUAUAACGAAGAACUCCGAUCGCGAAGGCAGCCUUCCGGCCCGUCAACGACGCUCAUGCUCGAAGGUGCGGGUAUCAAACAGGAUUAGAUACCCUGGUAGUCCGCACAGUAAACGAUGGACACCCGCGGUUUGGCCUGUAUGGCUGAGCCGCCAAGCGAAAGCGUUAAGUGUCCCACCUGGGGAGUACGCCGGCAACGGUGAAACUCAAAUGAAUUGACGGGG